rnacentral:rRNA from 1 species
UACGUAGGGUGCAAGCGUUGUCCGGAAUUAUUGGGCGUAAAGAGCUCGUAGGCGGCUUGUCACGUCGACUGUGAAAACCCGGGGCUCAACUCCGGGCCUGCAGUCGAUACGGGCUGGCUUGAGUGCGGUAGGGGAGACUGGAAUUCCUGGUGUAGCGGUGAAAUGCGCAGAUAUCAGGAGGAACACCGGUGGCGAAGGCAGGUCUCUGGGCCACUACUGACGCUGAGAAGCGAAAGCAUGGGGAGCGAACAGG